AGCGAACGCUGGCGGCAGGCUUAACACAUGCAAGUCGAGCGGACCUUUCGGGGUCAGCGGCGGACGGGUGAGUAACGCGUGGGAACGUGCCUUCCGGUUCGGAAUAACCCUGGGAAACUAGGGCUAAUACCGGAUACGCCCUUAUGGGGAAAGGUUUACUGCCGGAAGAUCGGCCCGCGUCUGAUUAGCUAGUUGGUGGGGUAACGGCCUACCAAGGCGACGAUCAGUAGCUGGUCUGAGAGGAUGAUCAGCCACACUGGGACUGAGACACGGCCCAGACUCCUACGGGAGGCAGCAGUGGGGAAUAUUGGACAAUGGGCGCAAGCCUGAUCCAGCCAUGCCGCGUGAGUGAUGAAGGCCUUAGGGUUGUAAAGCUCUUUUAUCCGGGACGAUAAUGGCGGUACCGGAGGAAUAAGCCCCGGCUAACUUCGUG
rnacentral:rRNA from 1 species